rnacentral:rRNA from 1 species
GGCUGAAGGCAUCUAAGCCCGAAGCCGCCUUGAAAAAGAGGUGCCACGGGACGCCCGUAGAUGACGGGCACGAUAGAAGCCGGAUGUAAGCGCCGAGGUCCGCCGAGGCGUUCAGUCCGGGCUCACUAACGUCCCAAACCGCCGCUGG